UACGUAGGGGGCAAGCGUUGUCCGGAUUUAUUGGGCGUAAAGAGCGUGUAGGCGGCUUUACAGGUCCGUUGUGAAAACUCGAGGCUCAACCUCGAGACGCCGGUGGAAACCGUAAGGCUAGAGUCCGGAAGAGGAGAGUGGAAUUCCUGGUGUAGCGGUGAAAUGCGCAGAUAUCAGGAGGAACACCCGUGGCGAAAGCGGCUCUCUGGGAUGGUACUGACGCUGAGACGCGAAAGCGUGGGGAGCGAACAGG
rnacentral:rRNA from 1 species